rnacentral:RNase_P_RNA from 1 species
UCAGAUAGUCGGGUGAUCGCGCUCGCGCAAGCGGGGGAGGAAAGUCCGGGCUCCACGGAAGCACGGUGCCGGAUAACGUCCGGCGGAGGCGACUCCAGGGAAAGUGCCACAGAAAGCAAACCGCCCGUAAGGGUAAGGGUGAAAGGGUGCGGUAAGAGCGCACCGCGCUGCCGGUAACGGCAGUGGCAGGGUAAACCCCGCCGGGAGCAA